UACAGAGGGUGCAAGCGUUGUUCGGAAUUAUUGGGCGUAAAGGGAGUGUAGGCGGUCUGGUAAGUCUUCUGUGAAAUCUACGGGCUUAGCCUGUAACGUGCAGAGGAAACUACCAGGCUUGAGUGUCGGAGAGGAUAGGGGAAUUCCCGGUGUAGAGGUGAAAUUCGUAGAGAUCGGGAGGAACACCAGUGGCGAAGGCGACUAUCUGGCUGACAACUGACGCUGAGACUCGAAAGCAUGGGGAGCAAACAGG
rnacentral:rRNA from 1 species